GGGGCUGAUUCUGGAUUCGACGGGAUUUGCGAAACCCAAGGUGCAUGCCGAGGGGCGGUUGGCCUCGUAAAAAGCCGCAAAAAAUAGUCGCAAACGACGAAAACUACGCUUUAGCAGCUUAAUAACCUGCUUAGAGCCCUCUCUCCCUAGCCUCCGCUCUUAGGACGGGGAUCAAGAGAGGUCAAACCCAAAAGAGAUCGCGUGGAAGCCCAGCCUGGGGUUGAAGCGUUAAAACUUAAUCAGGCUAGUUUGUUAGUGGCGUGUCCGUCCGCAGCUGGCAAGCGAAUGUAAAGACUGACUAAGCAUGUAGUACCGAGGAUGUAGGAAUUUCGGACGCGGGUUCAACUCCCGCCAGCUCCACCA
rnacentral:tmRNA from 1 species